GUAGGUGGCAAGUGUUAUCCGGAAUUAUUGGGCGUAAAGCGCGCGUAGGCGGUUUUUUAAGUCUGAUGUGAAAGCCCACGGCUCAACCGUGGGGGGUCAUUGGAAACUGGAAAACUUGAGUGCAGAAGAGGAAAGUGGAAUUCCAUGUGUAGCGGUGAAAUGCGCAGAGAUAUGGAGGAACACCAGUGGCGAAGGCGACUUUCUGGUCUGUAACUGACGCUGAUGUGCGAAAGCGUGGGGAUCAAACAGGAUUAGAUACCCUGGUAGUCCACGCCGUAAACGAUGAGUGCUAAGUGUUAGGGGGUUUCCGCCCCUUAGUGCUGCAGCUAACGCAUUAAGCACUCCGCCUGGGGAGUACGACCGCAAGGUUG
rnacentral:rRNA from 1 species